ACCCAAUCAGUCGUCCAACAUC
rnacentral:miRNA from 1 species